rnacentral:ncRNA from 2 species
GUAAAGUGCCUCACUUCAGGUGCUCACUGAGCCUAACAGGGAAUCCCGUUAAAAUCGGGAGCGGUCCCGCCGCCGUAAGUUCUAUCCAAUUUUUAUCCAUAUUGUACCACUGGUUACUCGGGAAGGUCGGAUAAAGAGGAACAAGCCGGAAGACCUGCCUGAACAUUGUAGUUAUC